GACUCCUACGGGUUACAGCUGGACUGCCUGCCAUAAAAAUGCUGGAUAGGCAGUUUGGGAGGCCACAAAGAGAUUUCACAACGCUCAGAGACAGAACUGACCCAGUCUAUGUGUCUCACCUCCAGGUACGAGUGCUCUCUAUCAGGCCGCUUAUUUGGGAACGUCAGAUCCAUGAAGUCCACCAAGUAAUCGUAGCCGUUGGUGAGGGGCUCAAAGUUUUCAUCGGUCUCAGUCACCUUGAACAAACACGUUUGCAUUUCAUCAAACAGAUAUCUGAUAUGAACGGGUGGCAACAGAAAGGAAGAAAGGAACAGAUUUCAGUCCAUACCCAGAGAAAUAGAGGAUAGCUGUUAAAGAGAGCCCAGGAGGAUAAAAGUAGUACAGAAAGAGAAAGGUAAGGUUGCUAGUUAUGAUGUGUACACAUUUAGGACUUCUUAAAUGUGCUUUAUUUAACCUUGCUUUUCCUCAACACAUUUUUAGAGUUACUGCAUAAAUAUUCUAUAUUGCUAACCCAGCGUGCUUUUACUUGCAAAAAAUGUGUGCACAGGAUUUACAUUGUGCAUGCAGGAUAUUGUCCUCUGCAGGAUGUUGUUGGUGUGCUGCAGUCAUGUCCACAUGUCCCUGCAGCUUUUUCAUGUUCUGCUUUAUCUCUCUGUUAUAGACAGACUCGGCAGCUGCACUGAAUCGGUUGUCUGAUUUGAAUUUUCAUAGGAUUUCAUGUUGUGUUCAUUUUGUUAGAAAUGCUAGGUAGUGAAUGUAAAGUUGAUCGGAUCAUCAGCAAAUACACCACUUUGUUUAGGAACGAAUUUUCUGGAACAUCUCCUGGAACAUUUUUAAAUCUUUUUCUUUUAGCAACAACACAAGUUCACUAUUUUCAUUAGUCGAAUUCUUUUACCACAAAAUACCACUGAAGUAUGCCACAGCUUCAGCUCCCCUCCCCACCUUUUUUUUAGCACUGCCAGGCAAACAUCAGCAUGUACACUUUCAAGGACAAAUAAAAUGUACCUGCUAAACCUGA